GUGGCGAAAGGAGGGAAGGGUAAUUUGGGGGAUCUUGAGAGAUGAGGGAGAGAACGACUGGAGGGAUUAAAAAUAACUCUUAGGAGCAGCUUGGCCUGAAGGCUGUGUGGGACGUGCCUGCUUUCCCUUCGCCUUCCACCAUGAUUUUUUUGACCUUCUCCCAUCUUCCAGUCAGAGGCUAAACCCAGGCGCUCUGCUGCCGGUCCUGACAGACCCCGCCCUGAAUGAUCUCUAUGUGAUUUCCACCUUCAAGCUGCAGACUAAAAGUUCAGCCACCAUCUUCGGUCUUUACUCUUCAACUGACAACACUAAAUAUUUUGAAUUUACUGUGAUGGGACGCUUAAACAAAGAAAAGUUAAAACAAUGAAGAUGAGCAGGAAGAAAAAAAUACCAUCCAAACACCCAGCAAAUAACCAUAUUAAUGUAGACAUAUUUUCUUCUAAUCUUCUAGCCAUCCUCCGUUACCUGAAGAACGACGGGAAGGUGCAUUUGGUGGUUUUCAACAACCUGCAGCUGGCAGACGGAAGGCGGCACAGGAUCCUCCUGAGGCUGAGCAAUUUGCAGCGAGGGGCC
rnacentral:sRNA from 1 species